GACAGAGGGUGCAAACGUUGUUCGGAAUUACUGGGCGUAAAGCGAGUGUAGGCGGUUUGGUAAGUCGGAUGUGAAAGCCCCGGGCUCAACCCGGGAAGUGCACUCGAUACUGCCAAGCUAGAGUAUCGGAGAGGUUGGUGGAAUUCUCGGUGUAGUGGUGAAAUGCGUAGAGAUCCGGAGGAACACCAGAGGCGAAGGCGGCAACCUGGCUCGUAACUGACGCUCAUACACGACAGCAUGGGGAGCGAACGGG
rnacentral:rRNA from 1 species